rnacentral:tmRNA from 1 species
GGGGAUGUCUGGAUUCGACAGGGGUGUAGGGUACGAAACUGCAGGUCGAGGAGCCCCGGCCUCGUAAAAAAGGGGCAACGCCAUAACUGGCACACAACAUCAACUUCUAGCCGCUUAAUUUAAGUCGGCUACGUUCGCCCGUUCCUUUCUCCGGUAGGAACGGUGCGGGCGUCGAAAAACCGGAGUGCUGUGUGAGUGCCCGUCGGGGCGCGAUCACCUAAGACUGAUCCGACUGGUCCGGUGAUUCCCCGCUGACCGGGAUACACCGGGUGAGAUCUUUAGGCCAGCUAAGCCUGUAGGAUGUUUCGGCGCGAAACUUCUGGACGGGGGUUCGACUCCCCCCAUCUCCACCA